rnacentral:rRNA from 1 species
GACGAACGCUGGCGGCGUGCCUAACACAUGCAAGUGGAGCGACGAACCAGGCUUCGGCCUGGAGCAAAGCCGCGAACGGGUGAGUAACACGUGGGUAACCUGCCCCGAUGAUCGGGACAACCCGGGGAAACCCGGGCUAAUACCGAAUGUGCUCGCAGCUCAUGAGGGCUGUGAGGAAAGGAAGCUUCGGCCUCCGUAUCGGGAGGGGCCCGGGCCCAUUAGCUCGUUGGUGGGGUAACGGCCUACCAAGGCUCCGAUGGGUAGCUGGUCUGAGAGGACGAUCAGCCACACUGGGACUGAGACACGGCCCAGACUCCUACGGGAGGCAGCAGUGGGGAAUCUUGCGCAAUGCGCGAAGCCUGAUGCAGCAACGCCGCGUGCGCGAUGAAGGUCUUCGGAUCGUAAAGCGCUUUUCUGAGAGAUGAGAAAGGACAGUAUCUCAGGAAUAAGUCUCGGCUAACUACGUGCCAGCAGCC